UUUGACACGGAAGCCAGCACAUACCAUUUAAUCUGACUGUCAUCAUUCAUCUAUUUAUCAAAUGCUGCUCUCUGGUCAGCACUAGGAUGGUUUGGUAAGACUGGAGGAUCUUGGUCAAGUACAUAUCCUAAUUUUUCAGAUAUCAAGAUAAUCUUGAGAUUUCUAAGUCAGUCUUUAAAAUUGAUUUCGAUCAAAUGAUUAGAUUCAAGUAUGUGGACUAGAGGGUUCGAAGCUGAUAUAGUUUAACUGCGAGAAUAGAGAUUCAAGUUAGAUAUUUAUACUUAAGUUUUAUAUUUAAUUUAGAGAUUUUAAGAAGUAAAUAAACU
rnacentral:lncRNA from 1 species